rnacentral:rRNA from 1 species
GACGAACGCUGGCGGCGUGCUUAACACAUGCAAGUCGAACGGAAAGGCCCUGCUUUUGUGGGGUGCUCGAGUGGCGAACGGGUGAGUAACACGUGAGUAACCUGCCCUUGACUUUGGGAUAACUUCAGGAAACUGGGGCUAAUACCGGAUAGGAGCUCCUGCUGCAUGGUGGGGGUUGGAAAGUUUCGGCGGUUGGGGAUGGACUCGCGGCUUAUCAGCUUGUUGGUGGGGUAGUGGCUUACCAAGGCUUUGCCGGGUAGCCGGCCUGAGAGGGUGACCGGACACAUUGGGACUGAGAUACGGCCCAGACUCCUCCGGGAGGCAGCAGUGGGGAAUAGUGCACAAUGGGCGGAGGCCUGAUGCAGCAACGCCGCGUGCGGGAUGACGGCCUUCGGGUUGUAAACCGCUUUCGCCUGUGACGAAGCGUGAGUGACGGUAAUGGGUAAAGAAGCACCGGCUAACUACGUG